rnacentral:lncRNA from 1 species
GAAUUUCAUUUUCAUGAUGAUAUGUGACUACAAAACAAUGUUGUAAUGUUUUUCAAUUAAUAUAGGAGAUUACGAAUGAAUGUGUUGUCAGCAAUUGUGUGAUUCAAUUCAUAAAGGUAGCACUGGGCAUAAAAUCCGUACCCGACGACCCGACCCGAUACCGACCCGAAAAACCCGGUUCGGAUCCUUGCCCGACCCGUCUAAAAUACCCUAUUGGAUAGCAUUGUUCAAGACCCGAAGAACCGAUACCCGGUCGGAUCUUACCCGAUACACGGUCGGUUUUUCUAAGACCCGAAACAUGUUAAGCGCCUAAGCUACCUAAAUCCCUAAUCCUUUCCUCUACUUUCC